rnacentral:rRNA from 1 species
GACGAACGCUGGCGGCGUGCUUAACACAUGCAAGUCGAACGGAAAGGCCCUGCUUUUGUGGGGUGCUCGAGUGGCGAACGGGUGAGUAACACGUGAGUAACCUGCCCUUGACUUUGGGAUAACUUCAGGAAACUGGGGCUAAUACCGGAUAGGAGCUCCUGCUGCAUGGUGGGGGUUGGAAAGUUUCGGCGGUUGGGGAUGGACUCGCGGCUUAUCAGCUUGUUGGUGGGGUAGUGGCUUACCAAGGCUUUGACGGGUAGCCGGCCUGAGAGGGUGACCGGCCACAUUGGGACUGGGAUACGGCCCAGACUCCUACGGGAGGCAGCGGGGGGGAAUAUUGCACAAUGGGCGGAAGCCUGAUGCAGCAACGCCGCGUGCGGGAUGACGGCCUUCGGGUUGUAAACCGCUUUCGCCUGUGACGAAGCGUGAGUGACGGUAAUGGGUAAAGAAGCACCGGCUAACUACGU